rnacentral:rRNA from 1 species
CCUACGGGAGGCAGCAGUGAGGAAUAUUGGUCAAUGGGAGCGAUCCUGAACCAGCCAAGCAGCGUGAAGGAAGACGGCCCUAUGGGUUGUAAACCUCUUUUGUCGGGGAACAAAACCCGGGACGAGUCCCGUACUGCGUGUAUCCGAUGAAAAAGCAUCGGCUAACUCCGUGCCAGCAGCCGCGGUAAUACGGAGGAUCCGAGCGUUAUCCGGAUUUAUUGGGUUUAAAGGGUGCGUAGGCGGGUCGUUAAGUCAGGGGGGAAAUUUCGGGGCUCAACCCUAGAGGUGCAGUUGAAACUGGCAGACUUGAGUAGGGGAGAGGUAGGCGGAAUGCGCGGUGUAGCGGUGAAAUGCAUAGAUAUCGCGAAGAACUCCGAUUGCGAAGGCAGCGUACCGGAGCGAGACUGACGCUGAGGCGCGAAAGUGUGGGGAUCAAACAGGAUUAGAUACCCUAGUAGUC